AGUGAACGCUGGCGGUAGGCCUAACACAUGCAAGUCGAACGGCAGCACAGUAAGAGCUUGCUCUUACGGGUGGCGAGUGGCGGACGGGUGAGGAAUGCAUCGGAAUCUACUUUUUCGUGGGGGAUAACGUAGGGAAACUUACGCUAAUACCGCAUACGACCUACGGGUGAAAGCAGGGGAUCUUCGGACCUUGCGCGAUUGAAUGAGCCGAUGUCGGAUUAGCUAGUUGGCGGGGUAAAGGCCCACCAAGGCGACGAUCCGUAGCUGGUCUGAGAGGAUGAUCAGCCACACUGGAACUGAGACACGGUCCAGACUCCUACGGGAGGCAGCAGUGGGGAAUAUUGGACAAUGGGCGCAAGCCUGAUCCAGCCAUACCGCGUGGGUGAAGAAGGCCUUAGGGUUGUAAAGCCCUUUUGUUGGGAAAGAAAAGCAGCAGGUUAAUACCCCGCUGUUCUGACGGUACCCAAAGAAUAAGCACCGGCUAACUUCGUG
rnacentral:rRNA from 1 species